GGAGAGACCUGCUUCCCUCUCUGAUGGAUAUAGCCUUCAGACUGGACUAAGGGAUGAGGAAACUGAGGACCACGGAAGUGGAGCAUCCUGCCUGAGGUCACCCAGCUACCGAGGUAGUACAACUAGGAAUUGAAUAAAGCCCUUCAGACUCCACCUCCAAUGUACUUCCCACUCCAGCGUGCUAGGACAUAUGAUUCUGCCCACACAUGAUUCCUACCAGCUCCUAAGAGAAGGGCCA
rnacentral:lncRNA from 1 species